CGAACGGGUGAGUAAUGCGUGACCAACCUGCCCCAUGCUCCAGAAUAGCUCUUGGAAACGGGUGGUAAUGCUGGAUGNUCCAACUUGACGCAUGUCUUGUUGGGAAAGUGUUUAGUGGCAUGGGAUGGGGUCGCGUCCUAUCAGCUUGUAGGCGGGGUAAUGGCCCACCUAGGCUUCGACGGGUAGCCGGCCUGAGAGGGCGGACGGCCACAUUGGGACUGAGAUACGGCCCAGACUCCUACGGGAGGCAGCAGAU
rnacentral:rRNA from 1 species